rnacentral:rRNA from 3 species
UGAGGAAUAUUGGUCAAUGGGCGCUAGCCUGAACCAGCCAAGUAGCGUGAAGGAUGAAGGCUCUAUGGGUCGUAAACUUCUUUUAUAUAAGAAUAAAGUGCAGUAUGUAUACUGUUUUGUAUGUAUUAUAUGAAUAAGGAUCGGCUAACUCCGUGCCAGCAGCCGCGGUAAUACGGAGGAUCCGAGCGUUAUCCGGAUUUAUUGGGUUUAAAGGGAGCGUAGGUGGACUGGUAAGUCAGUUGUGAAAGUUUGCGGCUCAACCGUAAAAUUGCAGUUGAUACUGUCAGUCUUGAGUACAGUAGAGGUGGGCGGAAUUCGUGGUGUAGCGGUGAAAUGCUUAGAUAUCACGAAGAACUCCGAUUGCGAAGGCAGCUCACUGGACUGCAACUGACACUGAUGCUCGAAAGUGUGGGUAUCAAACAGG